rnacentral:rRNA from 1 species
CAAACUUUUAGUAAAUCCAAGCAACCCUUUCGUAAAUCCAAGCAAACUUUUUGUAAAUUCAAGCAACCUUUUCGUAAAUCUAAACAACCUUUUUGUAGGCGUCCUCGGAUUGGCCCGGGAGAUCGAAUUGAUUAUAGAAACAUGCAUAGAAAUUUUUUGCAUAGAGAAAAGAAGGGGAAUAUUGAUAUAUAUUAG